rnacentral:rRNA from 1 species
CACGUAGGGCGCAAGCGUUGUCCGGAUUUAUUGGGCGUAAAGAGCGUGUAGGCGGCUAUACAGGUCCGUUGUGAAAACUGGAGGCUUAACCUCCAGACGUCGAUGGAAACCGUAUGGCUAGAGUCCGGAAGAGGAGAGUGGAAUUCCUGGUGUAGCGGUGAAAUGCGCAGAUAUCAGGAAGAACACCCGUGGCGAAGGCGGCUCUCUGGGACGGUACUGACGCUGAGACGCGAAAGCGUGGGGAGCGAACAGG